UUAUGGGUGCUUUGGUGGUGGGUGUGGUAUGGGGGACACACAAUCUCUGCCACUCCUCCCGUUUGGGGCUGGCCAUGGGACCUGUCUUGACCCAAAGAAUGUGAAGUGUUACUGGGACUCUUCCUAGGUGGCCUGGAAAGUGCAGGUUUUCUCUCCUCUUUGAACACGGCCUCCGAUACCAGCUGCCUUGGGGCUCCAGGAGUGCCGUUCUGUGGAAGACCUUGCUUCAUCUGCUGUUCUUCGGCAGCGAGGCCAUGUCUAUGGCUCAGCUGCCACCGCUGUGCCCUUAAGAGUCCGUUGGACUCCUUCAGGUUUCCAGAUGCUUCUUCUCACAGAUUAAACACAGCAUGAUGUAGACACUUAAAAUAAUACUCACCGCCAUGGAGCCAAGAAAAAGCUACUUUGAGCUCUAACUGCCUAUCGCCUGAAGAAUCAGGGUCCAGGGAAUUUUCUGUCGCUAUUAAAGGUGUGAUUCUCUGAAGCCAUUUGGAAACAACCUAGGUUCUCAGCAGCAACACAUCUACCUGGUACUGUGUCAAAGCACAUCAAAUGGCUGGCAUUCCAAACCUCAAACAGGUUAUUUCUCAUUAUGUGAAUACAUAAUAAAAGGAUGUGGGCAAAGAAUAG